CCUACGGGAGGCAGCAGUGAGGAAUAUUGGUCAAUGGACGAGAGUCUGAACCAGCCAAGUAGCGUGAAGGAUGACUGCCCUAUGGGUUGUAAACUUCUUUUAUAAAGGAAUAAAACGAGGCACGUGUGCCUUUUUGCAUGUACUUUAUGAAUAAGGAUCGGCUAACUCCGUGCCAGCAGCCGCGGUAAUACGGAGGAUCCGAGCGUUAUCCGGAUUUAUUGGGUUUAAAGGGUGCGUAGGUGGGUUUUUAAGUCAGUUGUUAAAGUUUGCGGCUCAACCGUAAAAUUGCAAUUGAUACUGGCAGUCUUGAGUACAGUUGAGGUAGGCGGAAUUCGUGAUGUAGCGGUGAAAUGCUUAGAUAUCACGAAGAACCCCGAUAGCGAAGGCAGCUUACUAAACUGUGACUGACGUUGAGGCUCGAGAGCGUGGGGAGCAAACAGGAUUAGAUACCCGGGUAGUC
rnacentral:rRNA from 1 species